CGGCAACAGCUCAAAUUUGAAAUCUGGCUCUCGGGCCCGAGUUGUAAUUUGUAGAGGAUACUUUUGAUGCGGUGCCUUCCGAGUUCCCUGGAACGGGACGCCAUAGAGGGUGAGAGCC
rnacentral:rRNA from 1 species